rnacentral:rRNA from 1 species
AGCAGCCGCGGUAAUUCCAGCUCCAAUAGCGUAUAUUAAAGUUGUUGCAGUUAAAAAGCUCGUAGUUGAAUUUCGGGAUCAAUAUGUCGGUCGUGCCUCGGUACGUACUGGCGUAAUUGGUUUCUCCCUUCUGAAGAACCUCGAUGUCAUUAAUUUGGUGUCGUGGGGAAUCAGGACUGUUACUUUGAAAAAAUUAGAGUGUUUAAAGCAGGCUCGCGCUUGAAUACAUUAGCAUGGAAUAAUGAAAUAGGACGUUUGAUUCUAUUUUGUUGGUUUCUAGGAUCGACGUAAUGAUUAAUAGGGAUAGUUGGGGGCAUUAGUAUUCAAUUGUCAGAGGUGAAAUUCUUGGAUUUAUUGAAGACUAACUACUGCGAAAGCAUUUGCCAAGGAUGUUUUAUUAAUCAAGAACGAAAGUUAGGGGAUCGAAGACGAUCAGAUACCGUCGUAGUC